rnacentral:rRNA from 1 species
UCCGGUUGAUCCUGCCAGAGGUUACUGCUAUCGGAGUUCGAUUAAGCCAUGCGAGUCUAAAGGUUUCUUCGGAAACCUUGGCGGACUGCUCAGUAACACGUGGAUAACCUACCCUUGGGACUGGAAUAACCCCGGGAAACUGGGGAUAAUACCGGAUAGAUCAGGGAUGCUGGAAUGCACCUUGAUCCAAAGCUCCGGCGCCCAAGGAUGGGUCUGCGGCCUAUCAGGUAGUAGUGGGUGUAACGUACCUACUAGCCAACGACGGGUACGGGUUGUGAGAGCAAGAGCCCGGAGAUGGAUUCUGAGACACGAAUCCAGGCCCUACGGGGUGCAGCAGGCGCGAAACCUUUACAAUGUGCGAAAGCAUGAUAAGGGAACUCCGAGUGCCAGCAUCUAAUGCUGGCUGUCCUUGUGCCUAAAACGCACAAGAUAGCAAGGGCCGGGUAAGACCGGUGCCAGCCGCCGCGGUAACACCGGCGGCCCGAGUGGUAGCCGCUAUUAUUGGGUCUAAAGGGUCCGUAGCCGGUUCGAUAAGUCCUCUGGGAAAUCUGGUUGCUUAACAAUCAGACUGCCAAGGGAUACUGUCGAACUUGAGACCGGGAGAGGUAAGAGGUACUUCAGGGGUAGGAGUGAAAUCUUGUAAUCCCUGGGGGACCAUCUGUGGCGAAGGCGUCUUACCAGAACGGGUCUGACGGUGAGGGACGAAAGCUGGGGGCGCAAACCGGAUUAGAUACCCGGGUAGUCCCAGCCGUAAACGAUGCUCGCUAUGUGUCAGGUACGGUGUGACCGUAUCUGGUGCCGUAGGGAAGCCGUGAAGCGAGCCACCUGGGAAGUACGG